rnacentral:misc_RNA from 1 species
ACCUUAACCAAUACGGUAUCGGUUUCCUAAAUCAGGACUUUAGGCCGUUCCGUAAUAUACAAGGAAACGUAACACCCAAGUCAUGAUCUGUUACAUAUUACAUAGAUACAAGUUAUCCCCUAUAACUAGUCGGAUAACCAUGCCGUGUGGGUAUGGGGUA